AGGCUCGUAGCUCAGUGGGAGAGCGCUUCCUUGACACGGAAGAGGUCGGCGGUUCAAUCCCGCCCGGGCCUACCA
rnacentral:tRNA from 1 species